GACGAACGCUGGCGGCGUGCCUAAUACAUGCAAGUUGAGCGAUGAAGAUUGGUGCUUGCACCAAUUUGAAGAGCAGCGAACGGGUGAGUAACGCGUGGGGAAUCUGCCUUUGAGCGGGGGACAACAUUUGGAAACGAAUGCUAAUACCGCAUAACAACUUUAAACAUAAGUUUUAAGUUUGAAAGAUGCAAUUGCAUCACUCAAAGAUGAUCCCGCGUUGUAUUAGCUAGUUGGUGAGGUAAAGGCUCACCAAGGCGAUGAUACAUAGCCGACCUGAGAGGGUGAUCGGCCACAAUGGGACUGAGACACGGCCCAAACUCCUACGGGAGGCAGCAGUAGGGAAUCUUCGGCAAUGGACGAAAGUCUGACCGAGCAACGCCGCGGGAGGGAAGAAGGGUGUCGGAUCGGAAAACUCUGUUGGUAGAGAAGAACGUUGGUGAGAGUGGAAAGCUCAUCAAGUGACGGUAACUACACAGAAAGGGACGGCUAACUACGUG
rnacentral:rRNA from 1 species